GCGGGGUGGGGUAGCCAGGAUUAGCCCGCUGGGCUCAUAACCCAGAGAUCGGUCGUUCAAAAGGAAGCCAGUGUG
rnacentral:tRNA from 1 species